rnacentral:rRNA from 1 species
CCUACGGGUGGCAGCAGUAGGGAAUUUUUCACAAUGGGCGAAAGCCUGAUGGAGCAACGCCGCGUGCAGGAUGAAGGCCUUCGGGUUGUAAACUGCUUUUAUAAGCGAGAAAUAUGAUGGUAACUUAUGAAUAAGGAUCGGCUAACUACGUGCCAGCAGCCGCGGUCAUACGUAGGAUCCGAGCAUUAUCCGGAGUGACUGGGUGUAAAGAGUUGCGUAGGUGGGAUAAUAAGUAGGUAGUGAAAUCUGGUGGCUCAAACAUUCAGACUAUUAGCUAAACUGUUAAGCUCGAGACCGUUAGGGGUAACUGGAAUUUGUGGUGUAGGGGUGAAAUCCGUAGAUAUUAGGAAGAACACCGAUAGCGAAGGCAGGUUACUGGAAUGGUUCUGACACUGAGGCUCGAAAGCGUAGGGAGCAAACGGGAUUAGAUACCCUUGUAGUC